rnacentral:misc_RNA from 1 species
UUUGUUAGUUACAGGUAUUUGUAUAAAAAUGGCCGCUCUAGAGAGUUCUUAGUCAAUCACCAUAAUUAAAAUAAUCAAUUUUAUUGAUGUUUUAGGCAUAAUCUUAUCGUAGAUGCAUUUCAAUAUGUCUUUGGAAAAUAGCGUUGUUGAAUCCCUCGCAGAAUCAUUGGUUCGUGAAUAUCUCAAUCGAAAAGGACUAAAGUCGACUUUACGUGUCAUGGAUGAGGAGUACCCUCGAAGUGAAAACGGCAUAAAUAACAGACAGAUAUUAGUAAAGGAGCUACAUCUUGAUGAGCUGAUGAAGAAAAAUAAGGAACAGAAAGUGCCAUUGAAAGCUAUGUUGGAAGUUAUGACCAAGUUUUUUUUGGAAAGACUGGUGACUGAAAACAUGGAUAAUACACAGCACCCAACAACCAGAUGCGUAGAUGAAAGAUAUCUUUUGCCUUUUGCCACAGCUGCUGGACCAAUUUCUAGAAGAGCUUCAGGAAGAGGUGAUCAAGAUAUUGUCAUUGAAGAUAACAUUGAAAGUGAGACAAUCCUGGGACAAGGAAAGGCAGGGCUCUUGUCAAAAAAAUUUGUUGAUGAAAAGGAGUCGUCCUCUUACUCAAAGCAGACACGUCCUUUGUCCUCAAAAGGAAGAUCUGGAAUUAUCAUGAGCACAAUGGAGGAUCCAGCAAGAUGGAGAUGGACCAAUAAAUCUAAGCCUAAUAACAAUAAUAAUAAAAUAGCAAAGAAUCAACAAACUAUGAGACAUUCAGAAGCAGACUUUGACACUGAUCUGUCUCAGACAAAUGGAGAAGAAUCUAUCAGCCCUUCCUUAUCAUCCACCAAGUUUUGGGAUCAGAUAGGGUUCCCACAACCUGACAUUCCCACUGCUUCCUCAUCUUGUUCAGUGGUUAAAGAAGAGCAUUCCAUGCCCUCCCGCUCAAAAUCAUCUUCUUUUCAAGAACUUUUGAAUGCCAGUGAGGAAAAGGCCAAUCAGUUUAGCCGACGACUAAGCAACAUGAAUAAUGAGUGUGAAAUUUCAGACAAAAGCUACAAUGCAAAGACUUCAAGUUUUGCAAAAGAGAGACCAUUUUCACAAACAUCUACCUCAAAGCCAGGAUUCAAGCCAGCCUCAUUAAGUAAUAUAAAGAAUGGAGAAAUAGAGAUUGGCGAUGUCGAUGAUGCGGAAUCUGAGGUGAAUGAUAUCCAGCUAAAACCAGCUGCUUUGACCCCGCAGAGAAUGCAGUUGAAGACACUGGACUCGAUGCCCAUAGACAAAAAUACUGCAGUUUCAUUGAAAACACUUGUGUUUGGGACUGCCAGCCAGGUCUAUUGUGAUGAAUGGAGACUGCAGAGUUUUACUUUUUGUAAUAUUCCUCAAAUUCAGUACGGAAUUGUUCAAAGAAAGGGUGGACCUUGUGGAGUGCUGGCCUCUGUACAGGCAGUUUUUCUGCAAGAGAUGCUAUUUGGAGAGAAUAAGCUGCCCUCCAGCAAGUGUCUGAGGCCUACUAAAACAGAGAGAUCAGAAUUUCUGGCAAAAGCAGUGGCUAAAAUUCUUUGGCGUGCUGGGAACCAGACAAAGGCCGUGGUUGCAGUCCCAAGUAUGCAAUGCCAUAUUCCAGGAACAACACAGUUUAAACAAGAUGAAGUUACAGAAAAGUUGGUGCUUUAUAACUUUAAGCAGUUUUCUGAAUUGCUGGAAUUCCUCAAGCAAUCUAUUCAUGAGUUUGAAAGAGAUGGAAGCAGUGGAGUAAUUCUGUGCAUGUACUCUGCAAUUUUAUCAAGAGGUGUUGAAAAGGUGAGAAGUGACAUGGAUGAGCCUAAUGGAAGGAUGAUUGCUGCACAUGGGUAUUGCACACAGGAGUUGGUGAAUCUUCUUCUAACUGGGCAAGCUGUUUCAAACGUUUUCAAUGAUGUUAUGGAGCUUGACUCGGGAACUGGCAAUAUUGUGGUCCUAAGGGGCAUUUCUGGCCGGUCUGAAACAGGCUUUUUGUCGCUGUUUGAACAUUACAAGUCUUGUCAGACACGAGCUAGUUUCAGACUGGAAGGCAGAGCGGCGCUUUGAUCUUUUUUACUAUGAUGGACUUGCUCGCCAGCAGGAGGAAAUCAGACUUACUAUAUGUACAACAAACAAAUUCUAUCAGCCACCUUCAAAUGAUGAGCUUGUUCCACCAUUAGAACACUGCAUCCGCACAAAGUA